rnacentral:tRNA from 1 species
GGGGCUGUGGCUCAGCAGUAGAGCACUUGCCUCACACGUAUGAGCACUGGGUUCAAGCCUCAGCACCA